rnacentral:lncRNA from 1 species
UCACGCUGGAUGGCACAGAGCUGGCAAACAUGAGGCCAGUCCACACCAAGGCUUUGCCUGCAGAAAGGCUGCACUGUGGCCAGCGGGGGAAGCGGAGGAGACACCUGUGGACACCCUCCCCACAGGAUUGAAAGAAGGUGGCAAGAGGAAGAAGCAGAAGCAGAGAGAGGAGUCGAAGAAGAAGAAGUCGACCAAAGGCAAUCACUAGACCGGACUUGAGGCACGCGGUGCACCCCCAGACGCUGGCGCUCCACCGUGCUCGGCAUGCGGUCGUGCACACGCGCUAGGUAGCAGCGUCGGUCAGGACUGUCUCGAGGCCACACUCGCUCGGCAGGAUUAUGCGAUCACGGAUCAGUCAGAGCAGGGUCAGGAGACGGGGCUGACGGCACGGGUGGCGGGGACAGACGUUUGGGACUUGGCCGCGACUCUCUGCUUCUCUCCAGCUCUCAAUCUGCUGCAUUUUCCUCUAGUGCUUCCGGAUCCUCUUCAUUCUUUUCGGCUACUCAACCACUCCGCAUGCUGCUGGAAUAUUUCUGGCUUUAGAAGUACAGGAGGGCGCAGAUGGCUAACUGAGUAACAUUCAUGAAAUGAGGCUUUCUGUGGCGGCGUAGUGUUUGGAAUUAGAAGGUAAUUCAGUAGAGUGUAACUUAGAGAAUAUUGCAAGUGACACAUUGAAUCCUGCCCGUCAGGGCACCUUUUCCUCAGAGCAAUCCGGCCACACGAAUAGAAGGCUGUCGUGAAUCACAU